UGGAUCCAGACUUUGAUCAUGGCUCAGGAUGAACGCUGGCGGCACGCCUAACACAUGCAAGUCGAACGAGGCUAUUAUGAUUGAAGCUUCGGCAGAUUGAAUUUUAACCUAGUGGCGGACGGGUGAGUAACACGUGAGCAAUCUGCCUUUCAGUGCGGGAUACCGUUUGGAAACGAACGUUAAUACCGCAUAACGCAGCGAAGCCGCAUGACUUUGCUGCCAAAGAUUUAUUGCUGAAAGAUGAGCUCGCGUCUGAUUAGAUAGUUGGUGAGGUAACGGCCCACCAAGUCGACGAUCAGUAGCCGGACUGAGAGGUUGAACGGCCACAUUGGGACUGAGACACGGCCCAGACUCCUACGGGAGGCAGCAGUGGGGAAUAUUGCACAAUGGAGGAAACUCUGAUGCAGCGAUGCCGCGUGAGGGAAGAAGGUUUUCGGAUUGUAAACCUCUGUCUUCGGGGACGAUAAUGACGGUACCCAAGGAGGAAGCUCCGGCUAACUACGUGCCAGCAGCCGCGGUAAUACGUAGGGAGCGAGCGUUAUCCGGAAUUACUGGGUGUAAAGGGAGUGUAGGCGGGACUGCAAGUCAGAUGUGAAAAUUAUGGGCUCAACUCAUGACCUGCAUUUGAAACUGUAGUUCUUGAGUGAAGUAGAGGUAAGCGGAAUUCCUAGUGUAGCGGUGAAAUGCGUAGAUAUUAGGAGGAACAUCAGUGGCGAAGGCGGCUUACUGGGCUUUUACUGACGCUGAGGCUCGAAAGCGUGGGGAGCAAACAGGAUUAGAUACCCUGGUAGUCCACGCUGUAAACGAUGAUUACUAGGUGUGGGGGGACUGACCCCUUCCGUGCCGCAGUUAACACAAUAAGUAAUCCACCUGGGGAGUACGGUCGCAAGACUGCAACUCAAAUGAAUUGACGGA
rnacentral:rRNA from 1 species